rnacentral:tRNA from 1 species
GGCCUGCUAGCUCAGUCGGUUAGAGCGUCGUGCCAAUAACGCGAAGGUGGUAGGUUCGAUCCCUGCGUAGGCGA